AGGGGUGAAAGGCCAAUCAAACUUGGAGAUAGCUCGUACUCCCCGAAAUAUAUUUAGGUAUAGCGUCUGGUUUUGUCUGCCCGGAGGUAGAGCACUGAUUAGGCUAGGGGGCUUCACCGCCUACCAACCCUAGACAAACUCCGAAUACCGGGCCAGAGCCGCCAGGCAGUCAGUCCUAGGGUGAUAACGUCCUAGGGCGAGAGGGGAACAACCCAGACCACCAGCUAAGGUCCCUAAUAUCAGUUAAGUGGGAAACGAUGUGGG
rnacentral:rRNA from 1 species